UUUGCAGAUUUACCUUAAAACGUGAAAAGGAAAAAAGAAGAAAUGCUGAUAUAUUAUAUGAAAAAAUGAGGGAGCAAUUCAGAGUAAAAGAAGAGCAGCAUAAUAAAGAAGUCGAACUGAAACAACAACUUGAACUUUCUCUUGGAACACUAGAUGUGGAAUUGAGGACUGUAGGAAAUAAUUUGGAUCAGGUUGUAGAAGAGCGAAAUGAUGCUAAGUUACAACUUUCUCAAGAACAGAAUGCCAGAGUAUUACAAGAUGGAAUUCUAAAGAAUCACCUUUGCAAACAAACGGAGAUGAAGUGGCUAAUAACAGAAUGAAUUCUGGGAUUUCUAAUAGUCAUGAAAAAGAAGAAGAUCUGUUGCCUAAAACCCACAUGUGGCAGGAUGAAAUUGCCAUGCUAAGACUGGAUCGAGACACAAUAAACAAUAAGAACCAGGACAUGGAAAAGAAAUAUUGUGAAGGCAUUGAAAUUAUAAAAGAAAAGAAUGUCAGUCUUCAAGAGACCAUAAAACUGAAGGUGGAAAUAUUAACAAAAACAAUAUUAGAAUAUAGUGGACAGAUUAAUGCUCUGACCACUGAGAAUACAAUGCUAAAGUCAAACGGGAGAAUGAAAAGCAAAACAAAGACAGACUGGACAGAAAAGUUGAAUCUUACCGAGCUAGACUUGCUACUGCUAUAGAGGAUUAUGAUCAAAGUCAGGCAUCAAA